CUUGCAUCAUUGUAAAAAUGAUGCAGGAUCGACUAUGUCGAAUAAAAUUCUAGGUAGAAUUAUGAUAAUGACAUUGUCUGCCUAUGUGUCUUGACCAAAUUACGUGCCAGCAGUCGCGGUAAUACGUAGAAGACUAGUGUUAUUCAUGUUUAAUCGGUUUAAAGGGUACCUAGACGGUAAAUCAAGCCUAAAAUUAAAUGAAGGGACUAAUUUACUAGAGUUACUUAUGAGGGGGUAUUAAAGUACUGCUGGUGUAGAGAUGAAAUUCUGUCAUACCUCUUUUCAAUAGAAAAACAAUGGCACAGGUAUAGGCGAAAGCAUCCCCUUAUGUGAUAACUGACGUUGAGGGACGAAGGCUUUGUGUAGCGAACAGGAUUAGAUACCCCAGUAGUCAAAGCAGAAAAUGAUGAAUGUCAUAGAUUAGAUAAAUAAGUUUAUUCUAUAAAUGAAAGUGUAAGCAUUCCACCUCAAGAGUAAUUUGGCAACAUUGGAACUGAAAUCAUUAGACCGUUUCUGAAACCAGUAGUGAAGUAUGUUGUUUAAUUUGAUGAUCCGCAAAAAACCUUACCACAAUUUGAAUAUUUAUAUUUUUUUAUUGUUUUCUUUUUAAUUUUCUUCUGAUUUGAUUUUUCUAAAGAAAAAAAGAAAAAAAGAAAAAGAGGCGAUAUGAUAUAUUUACAAGCGUUGCACGGCUGUCUUCAGUUAAUGUCGCGAGACUUUGGUUAGUUCCAUUAAAUUAACGUAAACCCUUACUUUAUUUUUAUAUAGA
rnacentral:rRNA from 1 species